UACGGGGGGGGGCAAGCGUUGUUCGGAAUUACUGGGCGUAAAGGGCUCGUAGGUGGCCAACUAAGUCAGACGUGAAAUCCCUCGGCUUAACCGGGGAACUGCGUCUGAUACUGGAUGGCUUGAGUUCGGUAGGGGAGACUGGAAUUCCUGGUGUAGCGGUGAAAUGCGUAGAUAUCCGGAGGAACACCAGUGGCGAAGGCGGCCACCUGGGCUGUACCUGACGCUCAAACACGAAAGCUAGGGGAGCGAACGGG
rnacentral:rRNA from 1 species